GGGGAUAUGGUGUAGUGGUAUCACGUUUGCUUUGCAUGCAAAAGGCCCGGGGUUCAAGUCCCCGUGUCUCCA
rfam:Lichtheimia corymbifera JMRC:FST:9682, FST 9682, WGS project CBTN01000000 data, contig: SCAF00057